UGAAAAUAAAGAAAACUCUUUGAAUGAGAAGGUGUGUCCAAACUUUUGGUCUGCACUGUAUAUACUAAAACGGACAUGUAAGGAGAGGUGAUAAAUGCUCCGACAUUGUGCGGCGGGAUGAAAUAAUACCGCCCUCAUAGUCAUGUACACUUGAUUAUAACCAAAGGAAAAAAGUUAGAAUUGGGUCUAAAUUGGAAGAAAAUUUGUGUAGAUAUUCUGUCAAAGCUUAGCGUGACUAUUACAAAACGGUUCCUGAAUUCCAGGGCAUCAUCUAUGUAUCUCUGGAAAUAAAGACUCUCAUGGAGCACCGGAACAGCAACGCAGGAACGGCACAAGACUAGACAGAUGGGUGUGGCCUUUUUUGUUAUCAUAUAACACUCUCUAACAUAACCUACAUUUUUGGGGUCUUGGAAAACCCCUUUAAGUGUGCUUGGUGGACCCUGUAUUUCUGGUUAUAGUAUGGCACGCCGCUCCAGUGCUCCAUGCCGGUCUUUGUUUCCUGUUCUGCUGCCUUGAUGUCCCCGAUAACCACGUGUGGCCGCUGAGGCCAGUGAUUGCCUGCAACAUGGAGUAGUCGUGGGCGUCACUGCUGCAAAUAAAGACUGUCACGGAGCGCCGGAACAAUGGAAGAUUAAACAGAUGGGUGUGACUUCAUAUCAUCUGCCGUAACCUACAUUUUUGGGAUCUUGGAAAACCCAUUUACGUGUGCUUUGUGGACCCUGUGUUUCCUGUUAUAGUAUGGGUUCUACAUUGUAGCAACACACGGCUGUCAUUUCCACGACACCACAAUGCACUACUUAGAAAUAUGUGUCAGGCUCCACCCCCUUAGGUUAUUUUCCCUAUAAGGGAGUCAAUUGGUUAGUCUACACAGUCAUGUGACAAUUAAGCUCCACCCAGGGUUGGGCAGCCUUGGCAUUUGGAAAUUAGACGUUAUGAUACAUUGCUAAAAGAAAAAAUGAGGCUUUUAUCACAGUCGCUCUACACACUCCACUCUCCUUAAAGGGGCCGUGUACUCCAAGACACUGGUGGCCUAUCUCUAGGAUAGGCCACAAGUAUCAGGUAGGUGCAGGUCCCACCUCUUGGACCUGCUCCUGUCUCCAGAACAGGACCCCCAAAGCGAAGGAGAGUUUACCACUUGGGGUGAGCGAACCCGUGGAAGCAGGACCUGCGUGGUGAGAGCGGUGACGUCAUCGCGCACAUCGCAGGUCCUUUGGCAGGUCCUGUUCAGUGAAGCUGCUGCUGCGCGAUCAAUGGGAUGAGGUGAGGGUUUUUUUUAACCCCUAAAUGGCCAUAUUCUUUUGCAUUCUGUCUUAAGAAUGCUAGUAUUUUCCAAGAUAACCAUGUUAUAACAGAAAAUAACAAAAUCACCCGAACACCGAGACAGGACUUCAGUGAAAAAGUGAAAACUCGCGAAGUUCAGUACGAGCCCAAACUUUGCAGUUCGGGUUCACUCAUCCCUAUUCACCACGCAUGUGCGCAAUGCUCUCCAUUCUCUUCUAUGAGAGAUCAGAAAAUAGCCGAGUGAGCGCACUCCGUUAUUCUUGGAAGUCAUUCAUGUCCAUCUCUCCAUUCACCUCUAUGGGACUGCAGGAUAUAGCCCAGCUAGCUAUUUUCAGAACUCCCAUAGAAGUGAAUGGAGGGUGGCCAUGUAUGAGCAGGGCGCUCUCCUUCACUUUGGGAGGCCCAUU